rnacentral:rRNA from 1 species
AACGAACGCUGGCGGCAGGCUUAACACAUGCAAGUCGAACGCAUCCUUCGGGGUGAGUGGCAGACGGGUGAGUAACGCGUGGGAACGUGCCCUUCAGUUCGGGAUAACCCAGGGAAACUUGGGCUAAUACCGGAUACGUGCGAGAGCAGAAAGAUUUAUCGCUGAAGGAUCGGCCCGCGUCUGAUUAGCUAGUUGGUGGGGUAAUGGCCCACCAAGGCGACGAUCAGUAGCUGGUCUGAGAGGAUGAUCAGCCACAUUGGGACUGAGACACGGCCCAAGCUCCUACGGGAGGCAGCAGGGGGGAAGAUUGGACAAUGGGCGCAAGCCUGAUCCAGCCAUGCCGCGUGAGUGAUGAAGGCCUUAGGGUUGUAAAGCUCUUUCAUCCGGGACGAUAAUGACGGUACCGGAAGAAGAAGCCCCGGCUAACUUCGUGCCAGCCGCCGCGGUAA